CGGACGGGUGAGUAAUGCUUGGGAAUCUGGCUUAUGGAGGGGGAUAACUACGGGAAACUGUAGCUAAUACCGCGUAAUAUCUUCGGAUUAAAGGGUGGGACUUUCGGGCCACCUGCCAUAAGAUGAGCCCAAGUGGGAUUAGGUAGUUGGUGGGGUAAAGGCCUACCAAGCCGACGAUCUCUAGCUGGUCUGAGAGGAUGACCAGCCACACUGGAACUGAGACACGGUCCAGACUCCUACGGGAGGCAGCAGUGGGGAAUAUUGCACAAUGGGGGGAACCCUGAUGCAGCCAUGCCGCGUGAAUGAAGAAGGCCUUCGGGUUGUAAAGUUCUUUCGGUGAUGAGGAAGGCGGUUGUUUUAAUAGAACAAUCGAUUGACGUUAGUCACAGAAGAAGCACCGGCUAACUCCGUGCCAGCAGCCGCGGUAAUACGGAGGGUGCGAGCGUUAAUCGGAAUGACUGGGCGUAAAGGGCACGCAGGCGGUGACUUAAGUGAGAUGUGAAAGCCCCGAGCUUAACUUGGGAAUUGCAUUUCAUACUGGGUCGCUAGAGUAUUUUAGGGAGGGGUAGAAUUCCACGUGUAGCGGUGAAAUGCGUAGAGAUGUGGAGGAAUACCGAAGGCGAAGGCAGCCCCUUGGGAAUAUACUGACGCUCAUGUGCGAAAGCGUGUGGAGCAAACAGGAUUAGAUACCCUGGUAGUCCACGCUGUAAACGCUGUCGAUUUGGGGAUUGGGCUUUAAGCUUGGUG
rnacentral:rRNA from 1 species